UAACGGUGUAAGGCUCUACAUCCUUCACCGUCUUUGGAUCUUCGAUUUGAGGCAAAGAUGGCUUAAAUUUCAGGUGUGCUGAUACUAGGUCAAGAAGGGUCACAGAUGCAAAUAGAAUGGUGAAGCAUAACAAU
rnacentral:sRNA from 1 species